GAUGAACGUUGGCGGCAUGCUUUACACAUGCAAGUCGAACGGUAACAGGCCGCAAGGUGCUGACGAGUGGCGAACGGGUGAGUAAUGCAUCGGAACGUGCCCAGUCGUGGGGGAUAACGCAGCGAAAGCUGUGCUAAUACCGCAUACGAUCUAUGGAUGAAAGCGGGGGACCGUAAGGCCUCGCGCGAUUGGAGCGGCCGAUGUCAGAUUAGGUAGUUGGUGGGGUAAAGGCUCACCAAGCCGACGAUCUGUAGCUGGUCUGAGAGGACGACCAGCCACACUGGGACUGAGACACGGCCCAGACUCCGACGGGAGGCAGCAGUGGGGAAUUUUGGACAAUGGGCGCAAGCCUGAUCCAGCAAUGCCGCGUGCAGGAAGAAGGCCUUCGGGUUGUAAACUGCUUUUGUACGGAACGAAAAGGCUCUGGUUAAUACCUGGGGCUCAUGACGGUACCGUAAGAAUAAGCACCGGCUAACUACGUGCCAGCCGCCGCAGUAA
rnacentral:rRNA from 1 species